GGUGGGCGAGACGGCCUCGAUGGCCUCCCCGAGCGGCCACGCGGCCUCGAUGAAGUACUCCCCGUGCUUCACCUUCUGCGCCACGGUGAUCUCCUUGGUCGGCUCCAAGCCGAACCCGUCCACGAGCAGGGAGUACUGGUAGACGAGGUCCAUGCAGAUGUAGGGCGCGUCCACGGACCGCACCUUGGGGUACGCGGCCUUGGCCUCCAGGAAGCUCAUCGGGCAGAUCUCCUCGGCGGCGGCCCUGAACGCCGCCGGCGUGGUCUUCCCGCUGCUCGCCUCGCUGUCGAUCAGGCCGACGUCUGCUGCCAUGUAGUAGAAGCUGGAGGUGACGUAGAGCUCGGCCUGGCCGGGGCCGCCGCCGCCGUUCCACGCGCCGUUGAAGGUGCAGUUCUUGGCCGCGCAUGGCGCGCUGAUUCUCAGCGCCCUGGUCACGUCCUCUCUGCACUUUUCGUACGCCGCUCCUUGCGGUGCUGCUAUGGCGUCGUAUUGCUCUCCGUUGUAGGUGUAUUUGCCUUCAUUCAUUCGAUCAAAGGAUAUAUAUGCACAUCGAUCAGAUGUUCUUGAUUAUGUUAGAUGUGCCCUGCUUAUAUCAAACCAAAUUAAUCAGUGAUAUAUGUAUAGUACCAUCGUAUCCGCGCAGCACGCAGUAGCUGACUGGUCCGUUCUUGGCCUUGAAGAUCUCUACCCUUGAAGCCUGUGCGCCGUAGUGCAAGUAGCUGAAAUGGUUCCAAAAAUUACCAGAUGUCAAGCCACUGAUUAGCCAAGCCAAGUACUCUUUCGGUAGUGUAAUAUAAAAAACGCUCUUAUAUUAUGAGACCGAGGAGGUAGUUAGCGGUGCACAAGGCUUUGUAGCAUUGCAAAACAACAGAGAUGUCGUAAAAUAGGAGAAGAGAAAUGAGUAACCUGUGAACGUAGACGUUGUAAUCUUUUCCUUUGAGGUACUCUUUGGUGACGUAUGGGUCCUCCCCUUGAGGCACCGUGGGAGCGGCAGCUGCGGCGUUCGCUGAGAUGGCAUAUGCCAUCUGCACGGACCCACCUCCAAGGUCGAUCACUGCCACCGUCUUGGAGUAGUCUCCUCCCAGUUUACCCAGCAGGUAAUUCAGAGCAACCUACGUACGUACGUACGAGCGAUAUUAAUAAUUUGUGUAACAAGCAGUAAAUAAUUGUUCCACGUGGAUAUAUGGACUGAGUAAUUUAUUAAGGUCAUCUAUCUAAGUGGUGUAUAUAUAUAUAUAUAUACGUACCCAUAGGUAAGAUCCUUCCUGAGACCCCUUGAGAACAUUGAUCCAACUGGGAUUGUACUGGAAUUUGGUCUUG
rnacentral:lncRNA from 1 species